rnacentral:rRNA from 1 species
CCUACGGGAGGCUGCAGUGGGGAAUAUUGGACAAUGGGGGGAACCCUGAUCCAGCCAUGCCGCGUGUGUGAAGAAGGCCCUCGGGUUGUAAAGCACUUUCAGUGAGGAAGAACGCCUGGUGGUUAAUACCCAUCAGGAAAGACAUCACUCACAGAAGAAGCACCGGCUAACUCCGUGCCAGCAGCCGCGGUAAUACGGAGGGUGCGAGCGUUAAUCGGAGUUACUGGGCGUAAAGCGCGCGUAGGUGGCUUGAUAAGCCGGUUGUGAAAGCCCCGGGCUCAACCUGGGAACGGCAUCCGGAACUGUCAAGCUAGAGUGCAGGAGAGGAAGGUAGAAUUCCCGGUGUAGCGGUGAAAUGCGUAGAGAUCGGGAGGAAUACCAGUGGCGAAGGCGGCCUUCUGGACUGACACUGACACUGAGGUGCGAAAGCGUGGGUAGCAAACAGGAUUAGAUACCCGAGUAGUC